UAUUUUGUUUAACAAAUUUAUUAUUUGCAGGACUUGCCAGAUAUAGCAGUGAAGUCAUCCCAAUUCAAAGAAGGCAUGGCAUUAAGCUCAUAACAUCUGGCACAGGAAUACACGAUAGCAAAUAUUUGUCAGUCUCAAACGAAGAGUGAUGAUCCCCUUGAGAGUUGGAAUGAUGUUGCUGCCUCAGUGGGGUGAUUGAAGUCCUUGCUUGGACAAACUGGAGAUCGUAACUCUUUGGGAACAAGCUUCCUUCUUGGAGAACAUGGUAUUGUUGGACAAGUGGUGGGAACACAAAACAACUCUAUCCCAUUGGCCAGUAGCAAGUCUGUAACUGGAUACUGUCAUGUGCCCAGGAAAGAAGAAGCAGUGUUUCAAAGAAAGUUACAGGAGUUUUCUUCUAUUCACAAGAGGCUCUGCAGAUAAUCUAGAAAGAAGGGGAGACACUUAAGAAAUACUUUCUGAUUUCCAUUCAUUCAGCUUUUGGUCAUUUAAUAGCCUUUCUGAGGCUCAGAAACUGGCUUGUGAUGAAGAAGGAUAAAUCAGCAAAAAGGUCUUAUUUGAAACUUGAGGGACAUAAAGUUCUGCCAGUCUGCUAAUAUCCAACAACCAGAGGUCCUAGGAUAGAAAAACAAGCAAUGGAUACCAUCUUCCAGCUUUGUAACUGGAUACUUUCCACCCAUUGUUUAAGAAAAUGGUUGAAGUGUGUGUGUGUGUGUGUGUGUGUGUGUGUGUGUAUAUAUAUAUAGAGAGAGAGAUUGAUUGAUUUUCAAAACUGAAGUCCCAAAACAACAUAGUUUUGCCUACCUCUAAAAAAGAAUGAGGCCAGCUUGAGCUUGACAAUCCUGAUAUUAAUGGCCCCUUGAAUCUACC
rnacentral:lncRNA from 11 species